rnacentral:rRNA from 1 species
UCGGGAAUUUUGGGCAAUGGGGGAAACCCUGACCCAGCAACGCCGCGUGAAGGAUGAAGUAUUUCGGUAUGUAAACUUCGAAAGAAUAGGAAGAAUAAAUGACGGUACUAUUUGUAAGGUCCGGCUAACUACGUGCCAGCAGCCGCGGUAAUACGUAGGGACCAAGCGUUGUUCGGAUUUACUGGGCGUAAAGGGCGCGUAGGCGGUUUGUCAAGUCAGUUGUGAAAUCUCCGAGCUUAACUCGGAACGGUCAGAUGAUACUGCUUUGCUAGAGUGCAGAAGGGGCAAUCGGAAUUCUUGGUGUAGCGGUGAAAUGCGUAGAUAUCAAGAGGAACACCUGAGGUGAAGACGGGUUGCUGGGCUGACACUGACGCUGAGGCGCGAAAGCCAGGGGAGCAAA